UUGUGGACAUUUCUUCAAUGAACAUUGGGGUAUAUGUGCCCCUUCUUUUCACUACAUCUGGAUCUUUGGGGUAAAUACCCAGGAGUGCAAUUGCUGGGU